AGGAUCAAUGAAAUCUACCAGGUUUGUGAGAGAGAUAAAAUAAUGUAUCGAUUGAAUUGUGUUAGUUGUUGAGCGAUGUGGAGUGCAAAUAUUAACAGUAUUGAUUGUAAAAAUAUGAAAUUGCAUUUAAUUUUUAUAUCAAUCAAUAUUAUCAUUUUUCUAUGUUUUUUUUACAUAUUUAUGUUGCUUUUGCAAAAAAAAUAUUCAUUAUUUUCAUUUUAAGUCGUAACUUGAUGAUAGGGUAAUUAUAGUUCAAUAUAAGAUAAACUGGAAUUAUAUAGGCGCUAGGUUUAGAACUAAAAUUAAGUCUAUUUGAUGUAACAUUAGGAAAAAUUUAUGAAUAUUCAAUAAUUUCUCAGUAUUUCUUGUCAAAUUAUGAUAAAGUCAAAUCAGAAAAUCUUGCAUUAGUCGACUCCACACUGAAUCUAAAAAGUGUGGUCCCAUGAUGAGAAUAUAAGUAGUUAUCUCAUGGCAGUUAAAACAACUAUUUUAUGUGCUUUUUGGGAUACAUUUAUAUUCUUUUGAAGUAAAAUUAGAAAAUACCUUGUUUUUGAUACUUUAAAAGUGAAUUAGUGGUAGGAUUUUCCAUUUGUCUAUAAAUUGACAGCUCAAAAGAGGACCAAGUCUCAAUUUUAAAGCGUUUCAACAUGUUGAUUAUUUAACACUUUGCUAUAGUUCUUAAGAUUUUGCUUUGAACACUAAAUGUAUCUUAUUUUUUAACUGUAUUAAUAACUGAAAUUUUUUAAGUAGAUUAUAUAUUUAAUUAACCCAACUACACAAUUUCUGUCCAAUUUUAAUUUUUCUACAAAGUUCUAUAUUUUUUAUCUGUGAUAAAAGAAGAUUGAAGAUCUGAUAUGGUUUUACAGGGAAAGCUUUAUAUUUAUGAGAUGAAGCAUUUAUAUGUGUUAUUUUCUUGUCUUAAUAUUUAUAAAUAUAUAUAUAUUUAACAUAUUUCAAUUUCUUUUUAUACUUUUUUAAUGUUUUAAAAGUUUAUUCCGUCCAAAUUUGAUUCCUCAUGUUAGGCAUUAGAGAUGAAACUAUAUAUAGUAACAAGUAGUGCAUGUGAUAUCAAAAUCAUGUGAUCAGUGAUUUUUUAGUAAAAAGUCACAUGAUUAAUUUUAGUUAAUGACUGCAACUAGCAGACAAGCAUUUAUAUUGUUAUGAAAAUAAAUUAUUUAUUAUAUACUAG
rnacentral:lncRNA from 1 species